AUAGAGUGUCUGUGCAUAUUCAUUCUGCCAUUUAAUGGCUGGGUGGUUUCCCCAAUGUAGCAUCCUAGGUGGCAUUUUAUUAUCAAUGCAUAAAAUGCCACCUAGGAUGCUACAUUGGGGAAACCACCCAGCCAUUAAAUGGCAGAAUGAAUAUGCACAGACACUCUAU